UACGUAGGGACCAAGCGUUGUCCGGAUUUAUUGGGCGUAAAGAGCUCGUAGGCGCCUGCCACGUCGGAUGUGAAAGCUCAGGGCUUAACCCUGAGAGGCCAUUCGAUACGGGCAGGCUAGAGGUAGGUAGGGGAAAGUGGAAUUCCUGGUGUAGCGGUGAAAUGCGCAGAUAUCAGGAAGAACACCUAUGGCGAAGGCAGCUCUCUGGGACGGUACUGACGCUGAGACGCGAAAGCGUGGGGAGCGAACAGG
rnacentral:rRNA from 1 species